rnacentral:rRNA from 1 species
AGAGUUUGAUCAUGGCUCAGAACGAACGCUGGCGGCGUGCUUAACACAUGCAAGUCGAGUGCGCGCUUCGUAGCAAUACGGAGUGGCGCACGGCGCACGGGUGCGUAACACGUGGGUACAUGCCUUUUGGUGGGGAAUAACUCCGCGAAAGCGGAGCUAAUUCCGCAUAAGAUCCGCAAGGAUGAAAGCCGCAAGGCGCC